AUUGAACGCUGGCGGCAUGCUUUACACAUGCAAGUCGAACGGCAGCGCGGGCUUCGGCCUGGCGGCGAGUGGCGAACGGGUGAGUAAUGCAUCGGAACGUGCCCAGUAGUGGGGGAUAGCCCGGCGAAAGCCGGAUUAAUACCGCAUACGACCUGAAGGUGAAAGCGGGGGACCGAAAGGCCUCGCGCUAUUGGAGCGGCCGAUGUCGGAUUAGCUAGUUGGUGGGGUAAAGGCUUACCAAGGCGACGAUCCGUAGCUGGUCUGAGAGGACGACCAGCCACACUGGGACUGAGACACGGCCCAGACUCCUACGGGAGGCAGCAGUGGGGAAUUUUGGACAAUGGGGGCAACCCUGAUCCAGCCAUGCCGCGUGCGGGAAGAAGGCCUUCGGGUUGUAAACCGCUUUUGUUCGGGAAGAAAUCCUCUGGGCUAAUACCCCGGGGGGAUGACGGUACCGGAAGAAUAAGCACCGGCUAACUACGUG
rnacentral:rRNA from 1 species